rnacentral:lncRNA from 1 species
GGAGAGCACCUGAGUUAGUGGGGUGCACUUGGGGAAGGUAAGACUUUAUGAUGUAUGAUUCCAUUUGGCUUCAAUCCAGUGAUUUUUAUGACAUCUUUUCCUGAGGGUAGCAGGCCUUCGUGAAGGAGAAAGUAGGACUGUGCAGUUGGUAGGAGGCUCAGAGAGGUUAUGAGGGCAAAUUCCCUGAAUUUGUGAUGUGAUCUGGGGCUGUGGUCUACCCACAGGCCAUUCCACACACAUUCACCGAACACUUAGUUUAUGUCAAGUGCUAUGUCAGAAUGAAGGUGAGAGGCUACAGUCCCUGCCUAUUGGGAGCUUUGAGCAGGAGAGCAGGAAUU